GGUUAAGCGACUAAGCGUACACGGUGGAUGCCCUGGCAGUCAGAGGCGAUGAAGGACGUGCUAAUCUGCGAAAAGCGCCGGCGAGGUGAUAUGAACCUUUGACCCGGCGAUGUCCGAAUGGGGAAACCCAGUGUGUUUCGACACACUAUCGUUAACUGAAUACAUAGGUUAACGAGGCGAACCGGGGGAACUGAAACAUCUAAGUACCCCGAGGAAAAGAAAUCAACCGAGAUUCCCCCAGUAGCGGCGAGCGAACGGGGAGCAGCCCGGAGUCUGAAUCAGCUUGUGUGUUAGUGGAACGGUCUGGAAAGUCCGACGGUACAGGGUGAUAGUCCCGUACACGAAAACACACUUGCUGUGAACUCGAAGAGUAGGGCGGGACACGUGGUAUCCUGUCUGAAUAUGGGGGGACCAUCCUCCAAGGCUAAAUACUCCUGACUGACCGAUAGUGAACCAGUACCGUGAGGGAAAGGCGAAAAGAACCCCGGCGAGGGGAGUGAAAAAGAACCUGAAACCGUGUACGUACAAGCAGUGGGAGCCUCUUUAUGGGGUGACUGCGUACCUUUUGUAUAAUGGGUCAGCGACUUAUAUUCUGUAGCAAGGUUAACCGUAUAGGGGAGCCGAAGGGAAACCGAGUCUUAACUGGGCGUUAAGUUGCAGGGUAUAGACCCGAAACCCGGUGAUCUAGCCAUGGGCAGGUUGAAGGUUGGGUAACACUAACUGGAGGACCGAACCGACUAAUGUUGAAAAAUUAGCGGAUGACCUGUGGCUGGGGGUGAAAGGCCAAUCAAACCGGGAGAUAGCUGGUUCUCCCCGAAAGCUAUUUAGGUAGCGCCUCGUGAACUCAUCUUCGGGGGUAGAGCACUGUUUCGGCUAGGGGGCCAUCCCGGCUUACCAACCCGAUGCAAACUACGAAUACCGAAGAAUGUUAUCACGGGAGACACACGGCGGGUGCUAACGUCCGUCGUGAAGAGGGAAACAACCCAGACCGCCAGCUAAGGUCCCAAAGUCAUGGUUAAGUGGGAAACGAUGUGGGAAGGCACAGACAGCCAGGAUGUUGGCUUAGAAGCAGCCAUCAUUUAAAGAAAGCGUAAUAGCUCACUGGUCGAGUCGGCCUGCGCGGAAGAUGUAACGGGGCUAAACCAUGCACCGAAGCUGCGGCAGCGACACUAUGUGUUGUUGGGUAGGGGAGCGUUCUGUAAGCCGUUGAAGGUGUGCUGUGAGGCAUGCUGGAGGUAUCAGAAGUGCGAAUGCUGACAUAAGUAACGAUAAAGCGGGUGAAAAGCCCGCUCGCCGGAAGACCAAGGGUUCCUGUCCAACGUUAAUCGGGGCAGGGUGAGUCGACCCCUAAGGCGAGGCCGAAAGGCGUAGUCGAUGGGAAACAGGUUAAUAUUCCUGUACUUGGUGUUACUGCGAAGGGGGGACGGAGAAGGCUAUGUCAGCCGGGCGACGGUUGUCCCGGUUUAAGCAUGUAGGCGGAGGUUCCAGGUAAAUCCGGUACCUUUUAACGCUGAGGUGUGAUGACGAGGCACUACGGUGCUGAAGUGAUAAAUGCCCUGCUUCCAGGAAAAGCCUCUAAGCAUCAGGUAACACGAAAUCGUACCCCAAACCGACACAGGUGGUCAGGUAGAGAAUACCAAGGCGCUUGAGAGAACUCGGGUGAA
rnacentral:rRNA from 1 species